GAUAUUGUGUCGCAGUGGGCUCAUAAAAACAUAAAAACCUGCAGCCAGGGCAAAGGACAACACCACAGCAAUUCAGAAUGUAUUCCGUGUGAACAGAUGCUGCAGCAGACAAGAGACACGGGCUCACUGGAGAGUGUCGGGUAGAUUAAAUGUCAACCACUUCUAAAGGUGUAUCAGUUGACCUGCUUCUGCUGAUGAAGUUGUUUAGAUGCACUAGCAUGACUGACUGCUGUCUGUUGUGCUGCUCCAAGUAGGCAUACUUGAAAUGGGAGAAACCUGGCGGAGGGAUUCGGAACACUGAUUCUAUGGCGCAUAACUGCAUCUACUCCGCCACAACAAGGGACAAGUCUGAAGGACGGUAUUCACGCAGUGGAGCACCGUAAGGGAUCGGAGACUGAGAAGAGCUGAGGAGCAGCACCAAACCCUCCUGAGGGAAAUGCCAAAGAGGCGACAAUGGACUACACAUUAUUGCACGCACUUGUCUGGCUUCUACCUGCAUUCACUUUUACAACACAAGAGUUGGUGAAACUAAGUGUUAGCCCCGGGAUCGUCGCAGAGUGCGGCAAACAGGUAACCCUGAACUGCGACGUGUCAUCGCCACCAGAGGAACUAUCAAUCAAACACAUGAAGUGGUUCCAGAGCGACAAAUCCGUCUGUUCAGUGGACAUGGAGGGACAAAUCACAAACCACACACACUCUCUAAGAGAUUUCUAUUGCGAGUACAAACACGGACAACUGUCCCUCAUCUUGAAAAGAGUGAAGCCACAGGAGAAAGGAAAAUACACGUGCAAACUGCAAUCCAACCAGGGAGCUCCGGACAAAGAAACAAGAGUGGAGUUACAAGAGUGCUGUGGGAUCACUGAGGGUGUUUGGACAACGGACCGACUCACCUGCACCUUCAAAAAUGUCUACCCCGACGGAGAUGUGCACUGGUUUCACGGCUCCCACAACCUCUCAGACGGGUCUGUGGAGCAACACACCUCUAAACAAGUGGAAGAAGGGGGUUGGCUGACUAUUCGAAGUUACCUGGAAUGGAAAAGUUCACAUGGGCCCUACAACUGUUCCUUGAUGAGCACCAAAUCUGGUCGAUAUAUUGCGAGCACUUUGGUAUCGAAUCCAAAGUCCCUGGCUAGCGGUACAUCACAGGCACCUUCACACCAGGGCAGGAAUGGAGUUGGAUCACUCGGACCCAUGUGGACGUUUUUUUGUGUUUUUCAGUCUUACUUGUUGCCACACUGAAUUAAUGGAUUUGCUAAAGUACAUCCACAUAAUAGAGUGUGAUAAGAUAUCAGGGUGAAGCGAUGGUUAACAUUGAUUAGGAACAAUGAGGUACUGAGAUUUGUGUUUUUUUUAAAUGAGUCAUCCUGCAUGGUUCUUUUAGCUCUAGACUAAAGUGGAUAAGUAAAUUACAGACUGCUCAGAAGUUGUAUGAAAAUACCUUUGGUAGUUUUGUUUCAAUAGAGAGUCACGAUAAGUGAGCAGAGCUUGGUGGCUUCAUUACUCCCAAACACACACACACACACACACACACACACACACGGUAGCAAAACACUCUACAAAUGACCAUGACUACUUCUGGCUACUGGUUCAAUUUUGCCUCAAGAUUUAUUUCUGUGAGAGUGAGAUGAAGAUGUCUGCUGACAGGCGUGUCCACCGUGUGUCCUCAGGAUGGUUGUCUGUACUAUGUGAAUGCACACUUUCUGCACUAGCACUGUGAAAGACAAAUCUGUCCGUCUUGAACAGAAUACAGACCUCAAAAGAUGGGCUCUGCCCAUGAAUUCCCCUCAAACACACAGAAGCCUUUGUGUGCAAAAUAUCUGGGCACAUGAGCUCUCAGUAACGCAAUCGUGGAUGGAUGCUGCCCUCUGGUGAGCUAGCUGUGGUCAGUGUGGGAUGUGACUGUGGCUGUUGUCCAUGGAGGGCUAAAUGGGUGCAUAUAAAGGGUUGGUUUACUGCAGCAGAUCAUUUGUCCCGGUUCCCCAUAUUCAACCAGCCCUCUUGAGAAGACACUUAAGAGGCUUCUCUAGACCGAAUGACUCUCUGCUAAUGGUGUCACUAAAUCGUUGCCACCACAGGGGCAGGUUCAACUUUCAGCAAGACGUUGCUGCGGCUGAGAGCCCACUGGGGCUCUGAUGACUUUGACAUCACCUUGACUACUCCAGUGCACAAGGAUUCACACGUGCACACACACACGGUGAUUGUGGAAUAAUGAUCUCUCACAAUUUGAGAAAUAAUCCCACAGAUGAUUAUUUUGUGAAAUAUUGUUUUUGAUCUACACCUACCAAAUAUUGCACAUUAAAUCUAUUUGCAUAUAUUAUCACAAGACUAAAUAACGCUUUCACUAACAGUGAUGAUGACUGGAUUAAUCAAAAUGUCUACAUUUUUAAACGGACUCUUGAUGAGCCUUAAAGGGAGCUUUCUGAUAAUCUAUAACAGGAUGUACUAAUGUGAACACUUUAUUGAUUUUUGUUUCCAUGUUGUGAUUCUCAAAAGAAUGACGCUGACUUAAACAUUUACAACAAUAAAUCCUAUAAGUGAACCUGGUGUAAGCUUUUACAAUAGAGCCUUUAAUUAAAGAGAAAUAAAGAACAUUUACCAAUGAAAUGAUUUAUGGUUGUUUUCUCUAUGAAAAUAACAGACUGGAGAUCAUUUUUAGUUUUUUAUUCAUGUUAUGAUGUGAUGAAGGCUUCUCCUUCGUUUUACUGUGGCCUUUAUUGUACCUCAUUUGUACGUCACUUUGAACAAAGGCAUCUGCCAAAUGUAUAAACGCAAAGGUAAAGGACUGCAACCUAAAGAAGGCAGCAUGCUAAAACAUCAGUCCUUAGAACCUGAAGUAAAAGACGGAACUGAGUGAUGAAAGAGAAAGUGAUGUUUUUGAGAUCAACAUUUGAAUGUAAUGCAAGAGGCUUUAAGUUGUAGAAUGAAGCUCUACUUCUGUAGAAAAUAAAACAAUCACAUCUCAGUGAUUCUCAUCUCA